rnacentral:lncRNA from 1 species
AACGGCCCACGAUGGGUGAAGUGCAGGUGGAACUUGAGUGCGCACUGGAGUUGCAGGAAAGGGCAGACGCCGUCAAGCAGCCCAAGGAGUUGGGGACAAGUGCAAGCACUUCUCUUGCUCCUCCUCUUCCUGCCCAUGACAUGGAGGACUAUACCUACGAAAAUAUAUCAUUUUCUGAGAUCAAUGAAACUUUCUGUAUAUUAGUGAGCUUCAUUUAGUACUGAUGAGGCAGCUUCUGUUGAUAGUAUUGCUAGCCUUGAUCCUAACAGGGAAGCAAUAACAUAUAAGAAAUAUUGGGUGAUAUGCAAUAACUAUACUCUUGAAAGAAAUAAACUUUGGUUUAUCCAUCUGAGGAACGCUACAGAGUUUUUGGUUUCAUUCCUCUAUAUGCAACAAUGUUGUUUUCGCAUGUCAUGCACGAGAAAAACAAAUGUACGUAGAGCUAAUUGCAUGUAUCGGAGUGAACUUGGCCUACUUUGAGGCCCUCGGAGGUAGGUGAAGGUAAAGAAAAAAUCAUGUUGGAAGAAUAAACUACCAGCUUCAUUGAAAGUUAGUACGAGAACAAUGUCCAAAAUACUUGUAGUUAAACUCAUAAAUCUUAUUUUUUCUUAUUUUUUCUUUUUUGAGAAGAAUUUAUUGAUAAACAAAAAAAAUACAAUAUGUCAAGAGGACGUGAGGCCAAACCCAAACCAUUAAAAAUUCAUAACAACAAUUCAAAACCUAUUUCCGCAGCAAAACCUAUAACAAGGAAGCUUAGAAAGGUUGUGAGAAUAAGCAGUUGCAGCACAAGGAGGGCAUGAAUCUCACCAAUGGACACCGGGGUGAUCAACACCAUAAUUGGCCAAACAAUCAGCAACUUGAUUACCCUCUCUAAAAAUAUGAGAAAUUUGAACCUACAUGGAGAAUAGUAAAACUCGACAGUUAUGCCAACUGACCAAUAGCCUCCAAGGGAUAGAUGUCAAGGAAGGUGAGGAUGAAGAAAGAAGAUGAACAACCAGUGAGGAGUCACAUUCAAUCCAUAAGGAAUGUCAACCUUUAUCCCAAGCUAAAGGUACAACAUGAAUAACAGCGCGUAGUUCGGCAUCCAAAGAAGAGGCCAAGCCUAUUGAACCCGCAAAACAACCAAGAGAAUUACCCGUAAAAUCCCGAAAGAUACCACCAAAUGCAGCCACACCAAGGGAACCUCUUGGAGCACCAUCAGUAUUCACUUUGAUCCAAGACUGAGAAGGCGGGCGCCACAACACCUCAAUAAUUUUUGGAGCCUUAGCAAGACGUCCACGAACACCAAGGAGUUGACAUUUAAUAGAGGCGGCAAGUUUUAAUUUUUCCUGCUUUGCUUUCGACAAACACAAGUCACGCAUAAGAUCAUGGAGGCGGCAAGUUUUAAAUUUUCCGGUUGAUCCGAGGGUUCCAACUUGAACCAUGCACCUAUUAAUCAGUAACCCAAGUAGCGUUCUGCAACAUCCUCUAUUGUUUCAUCUCCCUCUGCUUCAUGAUGUGGCGAUACAAUGCCUUCUGCAAUCCAUAAUUGAACCAGUUUUCUCCGCGGAAUUUCAAAAUCCUUCAAUUAUUUUGUAGGAUACUCUGCUUCAUGAUAUGGCGAUACAAUGCCUUCUGCAUUACUGGAAAUGUCUUGAUGUGAAUGUGGGGCUAUUAUAUUCGCACAGCCCUUCAAUUAUUUUGUAGGAUACUCUGUAAUUUUUUUUAAGGAUUCGAACUUAUUAUAUUUAAAUUCAUCACUCAUAAACCAUCCUUGAAAAAAAUACUAAAAUAACUAUCAUUUAAUUUUACCCUAUAAAAAUUCCGACGGUCAUACAGUUUUGAAUUCGGGUGAAAUUUGGGGGCAUUGAUCCAUGAGGGAAGUACGUAGGUAUACCGUAUGUCGUAUAUAUGUUUGUGUGAAUGUGGGCCGGGUUUCCACACAGCGGCUUUCAGUUUUUUCAAUUACGUAAGUGAAUGUGGUCUUUAGUUUCCCAAAAAUUAAAAAGAGUGAAUGUGGUCUUAUCCGCGGAAAGAGGAUGAGGGAGGAUUUUACGUAAUUGAGUCCAUGUCUUAGAUGCAUAGUAAUGACGGCCAUACAGGCUUGUGAGUCAUACAGGCUUGUGAGUCCAUGUCUUAGAUGCAUAGUAAUGAGGCGUACUGCGCAGUCUGUCUCUCGUUUCUUCUCUCUUCGGAAGAAGAAACAAAAUGAUUGGGCAUUUCCAGAAGAAUUAUGCCGUCGUUUUACACUUGCUGAGAUCAGUGCAGCAACUCAAUGUUUCGACCAAACCUUAUGUAUUGGUAGGGGUGGCUUUGGCUCAGUAUUCAAAGGGCGUAUUAAGGUCGAUGGGGAUGAGGACAGGAUAAACGUCGUUGCAAUCAAGCGCUUUUCCGGACGUUCAGAACGGGGAAUGCGUGAGUUCAGGGCGGAGGUACAGCUACUGUGCCAGCUGCGCCACCCCAACCUCAUCUCUCUCGUCGGAUUCUGCCAAGAAAAUGGAGAGUGUAUCAUUGUCUACGACUACAUGCCCAACGGAACCCUCUCUGAUUACCUCCUUGAUCCUUCCAAUAUUAAAAAUAAAGAUCAUUUUCCCUUGACUUGGAAGCAAAGGCUGAAAAUUUGUAUUGGGGUGGCGCGUUCAAUACACUACCUCCACGCAGGGGUUAAGCAUGCUGUCAUCCAUCGAGACGUGAAAUGCACCAACGUUCUUUUGGACCAAAACUUGGUGCCCAAGCUUUCUGACUUCGGGUUGUCCAAGAUGGGUCCUCCUGUCGUGUCAAAUGCAUUAAUCAAAUUAAACUCGACGGUGGUCGGUACAUUCGGGUAUCUUGAUCCAGAGUAUGCAUUGUCCGGGCAACUUACCGAAAAAUCUGAUGUCUUUUCAUUUGGAAUGGUGUUACUUGAAGUGUUGUGUGCCAAAUCUGUUUCAAGAGAGAUAUCUGAAUGUGUGCAUAGGGGUGAGACUUUCCCUGCUAUGAUUGAUCCAUUUCUGAUGGGAAAAGUAGCUCCAGAUUGUUUGAGAAAAUUUAUGAACAUCGCUGUGAGAUGUGUGCGCCCUACAGGAGCUGAACGGCCCACGAUGGGUGAAGUGCAGGUGGAACUCGAGUGCGCACUGGAGUUGCAGGAGAGGGCUGAUGCCGUCAAGCACCUCAAUGAGUUGAGGACAAGUGCAAGCACUUCUCUUGCUCCUCCUCUUCCUGCCCAUGACAUGGAGGACUAUACCUACGAAAAUAUAUCAUUUUCUGAGAUCAAUGAAACUUUCUGUAUAUUAGUGAGCUUCAUUAGUACUGAUGAGGCAGCUUCUGUUGAUAGUAUCGCUAGCCUUGAUCCUAACAGGGAAGCAAUAACAUAGAAGAAAUAUUG